CAGUUGAGACUAUGGACAGGGAGCGAUCCAGAAACAUUUCUUAAAUCUCUGCCUUUGCCUCUUUCAAGCUGUAUGCCCUAGGUGGUAUGGCAGAGUUCCAGGCCCAGCGGCUGCUCCCUGCACCUGCCCCCUCCACAUCCAAUUUCUUUGCAAUGGCCUAAAAAGCUAACCAAGCUGAAAUAGCUCAUUCCAAGGCUCUCAAACUCCGGCACCAUUAUUCAGUGUUUGCAGAGGCCUAGCCUCAUCCCUGCCACUCACCACUUCCCAUCUGCGGUAUCUUCGAUGCUCACCGUCCUGCUGGGCUUGAGGACAAGAAAGACCACCUUACGGGAGGGAGGAAGGAAUUAUGUUAGCUCAUGAUUCCAGAAGUUUCCGUUUGUGAUCAGCUGGUUCCACUCUUCCUGAGCCUGUGUUGAGGCAGAAGCAUCAUGCUGUGCGAGUACAGACAGGGCCCUGUGUAAGCCCUACUGGUCCCAGACUCAUUACGCAGUGAUGGCUUUGAUUUUCUGAUCCUAGUGGCUCCACCCCCUGAGUGCUGGGAUUACAGGCACAUGUCACCACAAGUUUUUCAAGGCCUGGGAUCAAACCAGGAGUUUGUGAUGUCAGAGGUGUGUAGUCCAAGAGUGAAAAAUGCAAUGGUUUGGGGCAGAUGAUGCUUGAGAUAGGCGUCUACAUUGGAUCAGAACCUGCCUAGCUUCAUAUGGGAUUAAAAAUGAUGGUGCCCUUUGGCUCUCUUUCUAACCUUCCUUAACAUCUACCGAGACCAAGUAUGACAGCCAAUCUUGGUUUUCAACAGAAUUAAACCUGAAAUCAAACGAAACCCAAGCAACCGGACAAGUCUGUGAAGGAUUGCACUGAGUGGGUCAUUUGAGGCUGGAAGAUUCACCCUAAAUCCGAGCCACACCUUCUGAUGGCAGCGCAUAGAAAAAGACAAUGGGGAAGGAAGCAUCUGUCUUUGCCUACUUGUUUUCACUAUGGCUGGCAAGUUCAUCUGCUCUGUUUCAGUCAUCCCUUUGCUGGUGUUUGAGACCACUGCUUUGGGAUUCUAACAUAGACUGAAGACUGGUUGCUCUCUAGGAAACUCCUGGGACUCCAGGAACAGAUCUGGAUUGCUGAGAUAUCCAGUCUCAUGAACUGAACACCCAGACCCAAACCUUGGCAUUCCUGGAGGACUUGGGCUGCAACCUGUAAGCCACUCUAAUAAAGAAUAUUUAUAUAAACUGU
rnacentral:lncRNA from 1 species